rnacentral:lncRNA from 1 species
UCUCCCACCUCUACAGCACACUUGUGACUGGGCAACGCACUCUUGCCCCCCAGGACACGAUUUCCAGGUUCUCCUCUCUUUGCCCUGUAAACCCUGCUAUCUCGUCCUCUCUCUGGGAGCCCUUGGAGAAAUGCGUCCCACCAGGAGAUCCCACUGCUUCUACGUCUUUCGGCGUUGGAAAACCAAACAGGGAUUCGCAGCCCAACUUGGGAAGCCUUUGGUGUGG